rnacentral:rRNA from 1 species
UCUGUUUGAUCCUGGCUCAGGACGAACGCUGGCGGCGUGCCUAAUACAUGCAAGUAGAACGCUGAAGAGAGGAGCUUGCUCUUCUUGGAUGAGUUGCGAACGGGUGAGUAACGCGUAGGUAACCUGCCUUGUAGCGGGGGAUAACUAUUGGAAACGAUAGCUAAUACCGCAUAACAAUGGAUGACACAUGUCAUUUAUUUGAAAGGGGCAAUUGCUCCACUACAAGAUGGACCUGCGUUGUAUUAGCUAGUAGGUGAGGUAAUGGCUCACCUAGGCGACGAUACAUAGCCGACCUGAGAGGGUGAUCGGCCACACUGGGACUGAGACACGGCCCAGACUCCUACGGGAGGCAGCAGUAGGGAAUCUUCGGCAAUGGGGGCAACCCUGACCGAGCAACGCCGCGUGAGUGAAGAAGGUUUUCGGAUCGUAAAGCUCUGUUGUAAGUCAAGAACGGGUGUGAGAGUGGAAAGUUCACACUGUGACGGUAGCUUACCAGAAAGGGACGGCUAACUACGUGCCAGCAGCCGCGGUAAUACGUAGGUCCCGAGCGUUGUCCGGAUUUAUUGGGCGUAAAGCGAGCGCAGGCGGUUUGAUAAGUCUGAAGUUAAAGGCUGUGGCUCAACCAUAGUUCGCUUUGGAAACUGUCAAACUUGAGUGCAGAAGGGGAGAGUGGAAUUCCAUGUGUAGCGGUGAAAUGCGUAGAUAUAUGGAGGAACACCGGUGGCGAAAGCGGCUCUCUGGUCUGUAACUGACGCUGAGGCUCGAAAGCGUGGGGAGCGAACAGGAUUAGAUACCCUGGUAGUCCACGCCGUAAACG